rnacentral:rRNA from 1 species
GUGUCAGCCGCCGCGGUAAUACGGAGGGUGCAAGCGUUAUCCGGAAUCAUUGGGUUUAAAGGGUCCGCAGGCGGUCUUAUAAGUCAGUGGUGAAAGCCUACAGCUCAACUGUAGAACUGCCAUUGAUACUGUAAGACUUGAAUUCGAUCGAAGUGGGCGGAAUAUGACAUGUAGCGGUGAAAUGCUUAGAUAUGUCAUAGAACACCGAUAGCGAAGGCAGCUCACUAGGUCUGGAUUGACGCUCAGGGACGAAAGCGUGGGGAGCAAACAGGAUUAGAAACCCUUGUAGUCC